rnacentral:rRNA from 1 species
GUUAAGCGACUAAGCGUACACGGUGGAUGCCCUGGCAGUCAGAGGCGAUGAAGGACGUGCUAAUCUGCGAUAAGCGUCGGUGAGGUGAUAUGAACCGUUAUAACCGGCGAUUUCCGAAUGGGGAAACCCAGUGUGUUUCGACACACUAUCAUUAACUGAAUCCAUAGGUUAAUGAGGCGAACCGGGGGAACUGAAACAUCUAAGUACCCCGAGGAAAAGAAAUCAACCGAGAUUCCCCCAGUAGCGGCGAGCGAACGGGGAGGAGCCCAGAGCCUGAAUCAGUGUGUGUGUUAGUGGAAGCGUCUGGAAAGGCGCGCGAUACAGGGUGACAGCCCCGUACACAAAAAUGCACAUGCUGUGAGCUCGAUGAGUAGGGCGGGACACGUGGUAUCCUGUCUGAAUAUGGGGGGACCAUCCUCCAAGGCUAAAUACUCCUGACUGACCGAUAGUGAACCAGUACCGUGAGGGAAAGGCGAAAAGAACCCCGGCGAGGGGAGUGAAAAAGAACCUGAAACCGUGUACGUACAAGCAGUGGGAGCCUCUUAAUGGGGUGACUGCGUACCUUUUGUAUAAUGGGUCAGCGACUUAUAUUCUGUAGCAAGGUUAACCGAAUAGGGGAGCCGAAGGGAAACCGAGUCUUAACUGGGCGUUAAGUUGCAGGGUAUAGACCCGAAACCCGGUGAUCUAGCCAUGGGCAGGUUGAAGGUUGGGUAACACUAACUGGAGGACCGAACCGACUAAUGUUGAAAAAUUAGCGGAUGACUUGUGGCUGGGGGUGAAAGGCCAAUCAAACCGGGAGAUAGCUGGUUCUCCCCGAAAGCUAUUUAGGUAGCGCCUCGUGAAUUCAUCUCCGGGGGUAGAGCACUGUUUCGGCAAGGGGGUCAUCCCGACUUACCAACCCGAUGCAAACUGCGAAUACCGGAGAAUGUUAUCACGGGAGACACACGGCGGGUGCUAACGUCCGUCGUGAAGAGGGAAACAACCCAGACCGCCAGCUAAGGUCCCAAAGUCAUGGUUAAGUGGGAAACGAUGUGGGAAGGCCCAGACAGCCAGGAUGUUGGCUUAGAAGCAGCCAUCAUUUAAAGAAAGCGUAAUAGCUCACUGGUCGAGUCGGCCUGCGCGGAAGAUGUAACGGGGCUAAACCAUGCACCGAAGCUGCGGCAGCGACACUAUGUGUUGUUGGGUAGGGGAGCGUUCUGUAAGCCUGUGAAGGUGUGCUGUGAGGCAUGCUGGAGGUAUCAGAAGUGCGAAUGCUGACAUAAGUAACGAUAAAGCGGGUGAAAAGCCCGCUCGCCGGAAGACCAAGGGUUCCUGUCCAACGUUAAUCGGGGCAGGGUGAGUCGACCCCUAAGGCGAGGCCGAAAGGCGUAGUCGAUGGGAAACAGGUUAAUAUUCCUGUACUUGGUGUUACUGCGAAGGGGGGACGGAGAAGGCUAUGUUGGCCGGGCGACGGUUGUCCCGGUUUAAGCGUGUAGGCUGGUUUUCCAGGCAAAUCCGGAAAACCAAGGCUGAGGCGUGAUGACGAGGCACUACGGUGCUGAAGCGACAAAUGCCCUGCUUCCAGGAAAAGCCUCUAAGCAUCAGGUAACAUCAAAUCGUACCCCAAACCGACACAGGUGGUCAGGUAGAGAAUACCAAGGCGCUUGAGAGAACUCGGGUGAAGGAACUAGGCAAAAUGGUGCCGUAACUUCGGGAGAAGGCACGCUGAUAUGUAGGUGAAGCGACUUGCUCGUGGAGCUGAAAUCAGUCGAAGAUACCAGCUGGCUGCAACUGUUUAUUAAAAACACAGCACUGUGCAAACACGAAAGUGGACGUAUACGGUGUGACGCCUGCCCGGUGCCGGAAGGUUAAUUGAUGGGGUUAGCGGUAACGCGAAGCUCUUGAUCGAAGCCCCGGUAAACGGCGGCCGUAACUAUAACGGUCCUAAGGUAGCGAAAUUCCUUGUCGGGUAAGUUCCGACCUGCACGAAUGGCGUAAUGAUGGCCAGGCUGUCUCCACCCGAGACUCAGUGAAAUUGAACUCGCUGUGAAGAUGCAGUGUACCCGCGGCAAGACGGAAAGACCCCGUGAACCUUUACUAUAGCUUGACACUGAACAUUGAGCCUUGAUGUGUAGGAUAGGUGGGAGGCUUUGAAGUGUGGACGCCAGUCUGCAUGGAGCCGACCUUGAAAUACCACCCUUUAAUGUUUGAUGUUCUAACGUUGGCCCGUAAUCCGGGUUGCGGACAGUGUCUGGUGGGUAGUUUGACUGGGGCGGUCUCCUCCUAAAGAGUAACGGAG